rnacentral:rRNA from 1 species
ACACUCCUGCGGGAGGCAGCAGUGGGGAAUUUUGGACAAUGGGCGAAAGCCUGAUCCAGCCAUGCCGCGUGCAGGAUGAAGGCCUUCGGGUUGUAAACUGCUUUUGUACGGAACGAAACGGCCUUUUCUAAUAAAGAGGGCUAAUGACGGUACCGUAAGAAUAAGCACCGGCUAACUACGUGCCAGCAGCCGCGGUAAUAAGUAGGGUGCAAGCGUUAAUCGGAAUUACUGGGCGUAAAGCGUGCGCAGGCGGUUAUGUAAGACAGUUGUGAAAUCCCCGGGCUCAACCUGGGAACUGCAUCUGUGACUGCAUAGCUAGAGUACGGUAGAGGGGGAUGGAAUUCCGCGUGUAGCAGUGAAAUGCGUAGAUAUGCGGAGGAACACCGAUGGCGAAGGCAAUCCCCUGGACCUGUACUGACGCUCAUGCACGAAAGCGUGGGGAGCAAACAGGAUUAGAAACCCUAGUAGUCC